UACGUAGGGUGCGAGCGUUAAUCGGAAUUACUGGGCGUAAAGCGUGCGCAGGCGGUUUUUUAAGUCGGAUGUGCAAUCCCUGGGCUCAACCCAGGAACUGCAUCCGAGACUGGAAGGCUAGAGUACUGGAGAGGGUGGUGGAAUUCCUCGUGUAGCGGUGAAAUGCGUAGAGAUGAGGAGGAACACCAGUGGCGAAGGCGGCCACCUGGACAGUAACUGACGCUGAGGCGCGAAAGCGUGGGUAGCAAACAGG
rnacentral:rRNA from 1 species